AUAAAGAUGAGUUAGAAUUCUCUUCAAAUAAUUUUGUUCCUGGAAUUUUGUGGCUGGAAUCUUUCAAAAGUAAAUAGAGUCUACUCCAGAUUUUCCCUGUGCUGCCCAAAGAGUAGACUUGGAGUAGAGAAAGAGAGAACAGAUGAUGAUGAUCAAAUGUACCUGGAGGAAGCUGCUUUCACCAAAAUGUUGAAUUUGCCUUAUCACGAUUUAUCUGUGAACCUAAGAGUCAUAAGAUUCUCUGAAACAAAGAUGCCAGUGAAGUUGCCUGAUGAAAAAGCCAAGCUUCUAUUAUCUUCCAUUGGACAGUUGUCACCUGCAAAGACCUCUGAGAGGUUGAGCCCUCCAUGAUGGUGACGAUCACAGCAGUAGAUGCUGCUCCAGCCCCACCCUCGGAAAGGAGUCUCCAUGACAGUUGGUUUCACUCUGUUGCUCCGAAGAGAUGUAUUCUGAUGAUCGCCUUCCCUUCAUUCAUUAUGCUACAAUCAUAUUGCUAGGGGACAGAGAUGAAUGCUGUGUACUUAUCUGA